rnacentral:rRNA from 1 species
GAUGAACGCUGGCGGCGUGCCUAAUACAUGCAAGUCGAGCGAACGGACGAGAAGCUUGCUUCUCUGAUGUUAGCGGCGGACGGGUGAGUAACACGUGGAUAACCUACCUAUAAGACUGGGAUAACUUCGGGAAACCGGAGCUAAUACCGGAUGAUAUUUUGAACCGCAUGGUUCAAAAGUGAAAGACGGUCUUGCUGUCACUUAUAGAUGGAUCCGCGCUGCAUUAGCUAGUUGGUAAGGUAACGGCUUACCAAGGCAACGAUGCAUAGCCGACCUGAGAGCGUGAUGGGCCACUCUGGGACCGAGACACGGUCCUGACUCCUACGGGAGGCAGCAGUACGGAAUCUUCCGAGAUGGGCGAAAGCCUGACGGAGCAACGCCGCGUGGGUGAUGAAGGUCUUCGGAUCGUAAAACUCUGUUAUUAGUGAAGAACAUAUGUGUAAGUAACUGUGCACAUCUUGACGGUACCUAAUCAGAAAGCCACGGCUAACUACGUG